ensembl:lncRNA
GGGGGAGGGGGGCAUGGGCGUCCCAUAGGGCACGUGGGGGUCCUAUAGGGCACGUAGAGGUCCCAUGGGGCACACGGGGGUCCCAUAGGGCACAUAGGGGUCUUAUAGGGCACAUGGAGAUCUCAUAGAGCACAUAGAAGUCUCAUAGCGCAUAUGGAGAUCCCAUAAGGCACAUAGGGGUCCCAUAGGGCACAUGGAGGACAUGUGGGGGUCCCAUAGGGCACAUGGAGCUCCCAUAGAGCACGUGGAGGUUCUAUAGGACAUGUAAGAGUCCCACAGGACACAGGGAUGUCCUAUAGGGCAUAUAGGGAUGUCCUAUAGGCCAUAUAGGGCCCACGGAGGGCACGUGGGGGUCCCAUAGGGCACAUAGAGGUCCCAUAGGGCACACGGCGGUCCCAUAGGGCACAUAAGGGUCCCAUAGAGCAUAUGGGGGUUCCAUAAGGUACAUGGAGGUGCUAUAGGGCACGUAGGGAUCCAAUAGGGCACACGGAGGUCCCAUAGGGCACGUGGGAGUCCCAUAGGGCACAUGGAGGGCAUGUAGGGGUCCCAUAGGGCCCAUGGAGGGCAUGUGGGGGUCCUAUAGGGCACGUGGAGGUCCCAUAGGGCCCAUGGAGAGCACGUGGGGGUCCCAUAGGGCACGUAGGGGUCGCAUAGGGCACAUAGGGGUCCCAUAGGGCACAUGGAGGGCAUGUGGGGGUCCCAUAGGGCACAUAGAGCUCCCAUAGGGCACGUGGGAGUCCCAUGGGGCACGUAGGGGUCCCAUAGGGCCCAUGGAGGGCACGUGGGGGUCCCAUAGGGCACAUAGGGGUCCCAUAGGGCACACGGAGGUCCCAUAGGGCACACGGCGGUCCCAUAGGGCACAUAGGGGUCCCAUAGGGCACACGGGAGUCCCGUAGGCCACAUGGGACGGAAGAGG